AGGGUGACAAUCAGAGAGAAGAGUUAAGGUGAAAUUAGAGAGAAGGGUUAAAGGUGAAAUUGAAGAUUAGGAUUAGGCUGAAAUUGAAAGUUUGGGUGAAAUUAGAGAUAAGGGUUCAGGUGAAAUUAGAGAUAACAAUUGUUAGGGUGAAAUCAGAGAUUAGGAUUAGGAUGAAAUCAGAGAUAAGGGUUAAGGUGAAAUUAGGGAUUACGGUGAAAUCAGAGAUAAGGGUUAAGGUGAAAUUGAAAGUUCGGGUGAAAUCAGGUAAGGGUUCGGGUAAAAUUAGAGAUAAUUGUUAGGGUGAAAUCAGAGAUAAGGGUUAAGGUGAAAUUGAAAGUUCGGGUGAAAUCAGAGAUAAGGGUUUGGGUGAAAUUAGAGAUAAGGGUUAAGGUGAAAUCAGAGAUAAGGGUUAAGGUGAAAUUGAAGAUUAGGAUUAGGAUGAAAUCAGAGAUAAGGGUUAGAGUGAAAUUGAAAGUUCGAGUGAAAUUAGCGAUAAGCGUUAAGGUGGAAUUGAAGAUUAGGAUUAGAGUGAAAUUAGAGAUAAGGGUUCGGGUGAAAUUGAAAGUUCGGGUGAAAUUAGAGCUAAGGUAACAAUGCUGGUUCUGGCGGGACCCAACUGAGGCCUUGGCUACACUGGCAGUUUACAAUGCUGCAACUUUCUCGCUCAGGGGUGUGAAAAAACACACCCUUGAGCGCAGCAAGAUACAGUGCUGCAAAGCACCAGUGUAAAACAGUGCCCCAGCGCUGGGAGCUAAUCCCCACGGGGAGGUGGAGUACCUGCAGCGCUGGGAGAGCUCUCUCCCAGCGCCGGCACCGCGUCCACACACGCACUGGAGUUUUGAGUGCAGCCAAGC